GUGGACUGUAUGUGAUUGACCUGACAAGAGCUGAGGGAGAAAAUAGACCUAUUGCCACUCUUGACUUAACUUUAGAACCUGUCACUCCUUCCCAGAGGGAGCCAACCAGUCUUCAGACAUGUGCCAGCCUCUCUGGCAAAGCGGUGAUGGAAGGGCAGGUGGACAGAAGCUCUCAGCCUACAGCACGGAGACUCAUUAACAGUGACCCUGUAGAUUUGGACCUAGUGGAAGAAAACACCUUUGUAGGUCCCCCACCCGCUACAUCCAUCAGCGGAGGCUCUGUUUAUCCAACAGAGCCUAAUUGUAGCUCAGCCACAUUCACAGGGAACCUCAGCUUCUUGGCAAGCCUACAGCUGUCUUCAGAUGUUAGCUCCCUCUCCCCAACAAGCAAUAAUAGUAGCAGCAGCAGCAGCAGCAGCAAUCAAAAAGCACCCUUGCCAUGCCCACAGCAAGAUGUGUCUCGCCCACCACAAGCCUUGCCUUGCCCACUGAGAGCCUCACCUUGUCCACCACGAGCCUUGUCAUGCCCAUCACAAACCAUGCAGUGCCAACUACCAGCUCUAACUCACCCACCUCAAGAAGUGCCAUGCCCUCGGCAGAAUAUCCCAAGCCCACCUCAAGACUCGUUAUGGCAUCCUCAACACUCACCAAGCCCACCUCAAGACUCUCUGGGCCUACCUCAAGAUGUGCCAGGCCCGCCUCAAAGCAUAUUACAUCCACAAGAUGUGGCAUACCUGCAAGACAUGCCACAGUCACCAGGAGAUGUGCCACGGUCACCAGGAACCAUGCCACCAUCACCAGAUGUGCCACAGUCACCAGGAGACAUGCUAGGGCCACCAGGAGAUGUGCCACAGUCACCAAGUUAUGUUUCACCGUCACCAGAUGCACCACAGUCACCAGGGGGCAUGCCACACUUACCGGGAGAUGUGUUAUGUUCACCUGGAGACAUGCCACACUCAUCAGGGGACGUGACACACUCACCUAGAGACAUCCCUCACUUACCAGGAGACAGGCCUGACUUUACCCAGAAUGAUGUACAGAACCGUGACAUGCCUAUGGAUAUCUCAGCUCUGUCCUCUCCAAGCUGCUCUCCCAGCCCACAGUCUGAAACUCCCUUAGAGAAAGUUCCUUGGCUCUCUGUCAUGGAAACCCUAGCCAGAAAAGAAAUAUCACUGUCAGAGCCUGCCAAACCUGGGUCUGCCCACGUACAAUCACGAACACCACAAGGUGGGUUGUACGACAGACCAUGCCUGCAUAGACUGAAGUACUUCUUACGACCUCCGGUUCAUCACCUCUUCUUUCAGACGCUAAUACCGGAUAAAGACACAAGAGAGAACAAGGGUCAAAAAUUAGAACCCAUCCCUCAUCGAAGACUAAGAAUGGUAACAAAUACCAUUGAAGAGAAUUUUCCUCUGGGGACUGUGCAGUUUUUGAUGGACUUUGUGUCACCCCAGCAUUACCCACCAAGAGAAAUCGUGGCUCACAUCAUCCAGAAAAUCUUGCUCAGUGGCUCUGAGACUGUGGAUGUCCUAAAGGAGGCCUACAUGCUUCUCAUGAAAAUUCAACGGCUACAUCCAGCCAAUGCCAAGACAGUGGAGUGGGACUGGAAACUGCUCACCUAUGUCAUGGAGGAAGAGGCAUGAGGGCUGAGAUAGCAAAAAGGCCAUGUGUCCGUCCAUUUGGCCUUUUGGGAAACAGUCUGCAGUGGAGUCGACCCUCCGUGAAGGGAAGGCCUGAUGGCGUCUGAUUGAUCCUGCUAGGGAGGGCUCCUACUGGCUCUGGGGGCUUAGCAUCCCCACGCCCACUCCCCUGCCUCAUUCUGGCUUCACCAUCUCUCCCUUGGACUGGGUGCUCUCCUUCCUCAGACUCCACCCUGCAGUCCACCCUGGCUCCCCCAAAGGAUCUGUGUCAUAGAACACAGGUAAGUGUUCAAAAGUUCUCCCCUGGCCGGGCUCACACACAUAAUUCCAGCACUCUGGGAGGCUGAGGCGGGCAGAUUGCAAACAUAGUGAAACCAUCUCUCUACUAAGAAAAUACAAAAAAUUAGCCAGGCGUGGUCCCACAUGCCUGUAAUCCCAGCUACUCCGGAAGCUGAGGCAGGAGAAUCUCGAACCCGGGAGGCAGAGGUUGCAGUGAGCCGAGAUCGCGCCACUGCACUCGAGCCUUGGCCACAGAGUGAGAGAGGCCCUGUCUCAAAAAGAACAACAAAAAAAGUUCUCCCAUGCUUGAAACUUCUCAAAGCCCCUGCACCCCUAGAAUAAAGUACAAGUUGCUUAGUGUGGCAUUCACAGAUCCUCAUGACUCACCCCAGCCUUCCCUCUGCUGCCCACCUCCCCACUUCUGCACAGUAUCGUGGGUGCCAGGAACACUCCAGCUGCUCCUGGGUACCUGACACACAUGCUGGCUCCAGGCUGCCUGCCUUUGCACAUGAUGAUCCCUUCCCUUUCCUGCUGACAAAUUCUCCACCAGCAAGACUUUGCCUCCUCGGGGAAGCCUUCCCCAAGCACUCCACACAGCUCUCAUUUACAGUGCCACACUCUGGGUCCCACUAAUGCCCCAUCGGCGCUCCUCAGCACCCAGCAGCAGAAUCCCUGUCUUCCUCGAGGCAGCGGAGCCUGAGGCAGAUCCUCUGCAUCUCCACCAUGCCCCUGUUUUCCUCUCAGCCCUCCCCAUCUGCCCUUUCCAGCAGGGGAGAGGAGGGAGGCCUGCAGGGAAGGAACACCUGCUCAUGGGCACCUGCUAUACAGGGCAAAGGGGAAGAAACCUG
rnacentral:lncRNA from 1 species